GACCAAUGGCCCUCGAGUGCAAAGGUAAAAGGAAGCUUGACUUCAAGACCCAUUGUCAAGCAAGGAUGAAAGACAGCCUCAGUGAUCCGACCAUGCUGAGGAAAAAGGGCGUCGCUCAAC
rnacentral:rRNA from 1 species